rnacentral:lncRNA from 1 species
UACAUAGUUUGUCAAAAGUUCUGGUCUAAAAUCAAGAUUAUAAGUAAAUAUACGAGAAAUAAAAGAAUGAGUAGCACUUGUAUCGAUCAGAGUCUUGAAAGAAGUGUCAUGAAUAGAAAGCAUAUCCUAGAUAAGAACAAGAGUAAAAAGAGCAUCAGGUUCAUCAAGUGGCACAUGCGCCCUUGUGCUAUAGGUCAGGCGGUAUCCUUUGGUCACUGGGGGUAGUCCUAUAAAGUGUUGGGUGCUUUCGCACCAAUAACAGACAUUAUUGAUACACUAAUAGGGUAGGUCACCAUGCGAGCAACCACAAUACUGACAGGGUUGGUUAGGUCGGGCAGGUUGAACUGUAGGUGGAGGCAAGGCAGGGAGAACGGCAACUCUAAUUCGUUUAUCUGGGUGGGUACUUACUAGGUUAGGUAAUCUCCUCAUAAGCUGUUGGGAUUUUUGUUGGGUACGAAAUCACGCAAUGCAUUGGUGCUUGGCCGAGAUGAGAUCUUUGGCCACUAGGCAUGUUUGAACACCUCCACAUACGAAUUGAGUUUCAAUAUCGCGACCCGGUCAUAGAUAUUGGCACGAACGCCCUUGAGAAACUUCCUAGAUUUUCAGCUUUCGAGGGUAACAUUAGAGGGACAAACCUAGAUAAUUGAACAAAACGGGUUGCAUACUCGGCAACCAUCAGACUCCUUUACUGGAGGUCCUGAAAUUCCUCCUUCUUUUCCCAAACACAGGCAGGGAAUAAGUUAUCAAAGAAUGCAUCCAUGAAAACUUCCCAAGUGGCAAGGGAAGGCAGUACUUCCCUUUUAAGUCGCCACCAGUGUUCUACUUUGCCAUUUAGCAUGAAAGCUGCAAGGGAAACUUUUUGUUCCUUGGUCAAGUCUAGGAUAGAGAAGAGCUUCUCUAUCUGUAGGAU